GAUGAACGCUGGCGGCGUGCUUAACACAUGCAAGUCGAACGAUGAAGCCCAGCUUGCUGGGUGGAUUAGUGGCGAACGGGUGAGUAACACGUGAGUAACCUGCCCUUAACUCUGGGAUAAGCCUGGGAAACUGGGUCUAAUACCGGAUAGGAGCGUCCACCGCAUGGUGGGUGUUGGAAAGAUUUAUCGGUUUUGGAUGGACUCGCGGCCUAUCAGCUUGUUGGUGAGGUAAUGGCUCACCAAGGCGACGACGGGUAGCCGGCCUGAGAGGGUGACCGGCCACACUGGGACUGAGACGCGGCCCAGACUCCUACGGGAGGCAGCAGUGGGGAAUAUUGCACAAUGGGCGCAAGCUUGAUGCAGCGACGCCGCGUGAGGGAUGACGGCCUUCGGGUUGUAAACCUCUUUCAGUAGGGAAGAAGCGAAAGUGACGGUACCUGCAGAAGAAGCACCGGCUAACUACGUG
rnacentral:rRNA from 1 species